rnacentral:rRNA from 1 species
GACGAACCGUGCGAACGUUAUUCGGAAUCACUGGGCUUAAAGCGCGUGUAGGCGGGACGGCACGUCGGUCGCUGAAAUCCCCCGGCUCAACCGGGGAACGGGCGCCGAUACGACCGGCCUGGAGGGACGUAGGGGGACCUGGAACUUCCGGUGGAGCGGUGAAAUGCGUUGAGAUCGGAAGGAACGCCCGUGGCGAAAGCGAGGUCCUGGACGUUUUCUGACGCUGAGACGCGAAAGCCAGGGUAGCGAACGGG